AUUGAACGCUGGCGGCAGGCUUAACACAUGCAAGUCGAACGAAUGGCGGAUGGGUGCGUAAGGCUUGGGAAUGCAGCUGAUGGAGGGGGAUAACUAGGGGAAACUGUAGCUAAUACCGCGUACAAUAGGAUGACCCCAAGUGGUAUUAGUGAGUUGGUGGGGUAAAGGAUUACCAAGCCGACGAUCUCUAUCUGGGCUGAGAGGAUGACCAGCCACACUGGGACUGAGACACGGCCCAGAAUCCUACGAGAGGCAGAAGUGGGGAAUAUUGCACAGAGGGGGCAGACUGACGCAGCCAUGACGCGUGAAUGACGAAGGCCUUCGGGUUGUAAAGUUCUUUCGGUAGCGAGGCGUUAACUACGGAAGAAGCAACGGCUAACUCCGUGCCAGCAGCCGCGGUAAUUC
rnacentral:rRNA from 1 species